rnacentral:tRNA from 1 species
UAGGAAAUUAAGGGUAUACGGUGGAUGCCUAGACUCUAGAAGGCGAUGAAGGACGUGGCGUGGCUGCGAUAAGCUUCGGGGAGAUGCCUAGCAAUCUUUGAUCCGGAGAUUUCCGAAUGGGGAAACCCGGCCAGUAAUGGUCACCUUAACUCUAGUUAAGGAGUACACCCAGGGAAGUGAAACAUCUCAGUACCUGGAGGAAAAGAAAACAAGCUGUACUUGUACAGCACAUUUCCGGAGUAGCGGCGAGCGAAAUGGAAACAGCCCAAACCUGACAUCACCUUUACUGUCUGGAUAGUCAGAUGGUAAAGGUGGCGCCGGGGGUAGUAAGGCAAUGACGUUGCUUUUAAAGCAAGAGGAGUUACAAAUUGUUUUGUUAGCGGAAGCUUCUGGGAAGAAGCACCCAAGAGGGUAAUAGUCCUGUACGUGAAAAUAAAACAACUCUUUUGUUGUUGUCCUUGAGUAGCUCAAGACACGAAAAGCUUGAGUGAAUCUGCCAGAACUAACUGGUAAGGCUAAAUACUUUUAGAGAUCGAUAGUGAACUAGUACCGUGAGGGAAAGGUGAAAAGCAGUCCGGUGAGGACAGUGAAAUAGACCUGAAACCGUAUAUCUACAAGGAGUCGAAGAGGAUCUAAUCCUCGACGGCGUGCCUAUUGAAGAAUGAGCCAACGAGUUUAUGUAUAUUGCAGGCUAAGCACUCUCGUGCGGAGCCAUAGGGAAACCGAGUGUUAAUAGCGCGAAAUAAUUGUAGUGUGCAUAAGACCCGAAACCAAGUGAGCUUGCCAUGGGCAGGGUGAACAUCUGAGAAAUCAGGUGGGAGGCCCGAACCGGUUGGUCGUGCAAUUCCAUCGGAUGACCUGUGGUAAGAAGUGAAAAGCUAAUCGAACUUGGUAAUAGCUGGUUCUCUCCGAAAUAGCUUUAGGGUUAGCGUCUUGUGUUCCCUUUGGGGGUAGAGCACUGGAAGGUGAGAAUAGGGGGAAACCUCGUCUCUCCUAUCAAACUCCGAAUACCAAAGAUUAAUAACAAGGCAGUUAGACUACGGGGGCGAAGCUCCGUCGGUCGAAAGGGAAACAGCCCAGAUCUCAAGUUAAGGUCCCUAAAUUCAUACUAAGUGCACUUAAGGAGGUGGGAUUCCUCUGACAAUGAGGAGGUUGGCUUAGAAGCAGCCACCCUUUAAAGAAAGCGUAACAGCUCACUCAUUCAGGGAUCCUGCGCCGCAGAUAAUCGGGGCUAAGUAUGAUACCGAAACUGAGGGCUUGUGAGUUUCAUUGAGGAAAAAAUAGAGACGAGAGGUGUUAGUAACUCCAGAUCAGCUUGCUGGGGAGAAUCGCAUCUCUUUAGGUGUGGAUUAAGGUGUGAGCUCCGACACGUGAGCAUUGCGCCUCCGCGCCGCCAGGAGGGUUAAGUUCCUAGGAGGCUGUGAGAGGACCGAAGCUGCGGGCCAAUCACAAACUCCGAAGUUCAAGUCGGCUUUGUCGGCGCCCUCCUCACCGUUCUUUUGGAGCAAGUGCUCCUAAAUUUGUUUGUUUGACUCCUGGUAGCUCAGCCUGGUAGAGCAGUGACCUCCAAAGCCAUUUGUCGCAAGUUCAAAUCUUGCCCGGGAGGCCAAACAAAAUUUUCCGAAAUUGUUGAGGACAACAAUUUCGGAUCCUCAAUGAAAUUCAUAAGCGGUAGGAGAGCGUUCUGUUCUGCAAUGAAGCUGAAGGGAUAACCCACAGUGGAGCGUACAGAAGUGAGAAUGUUGGCACGAGUAACCGCAAUCAGGGUGAGAUUCCCUGACGCCGAAAAUCCAAGGUUUCCUUGGCGAUGAUAAUCAGCCAAGGGUUAGUCGGUCCUAAGGUGAUCCCGAAAGGGGGAAUCGAUGGACACAUGGUUAAUAUUCCAUGACUUUAUUAUUGUGUGAUGGGGUGACGGAGUGUUGUACUUUAAGCGCAUUAUCGGAUUUGCGUCCGUGCUUUGAGGGUGCCUCUUAGGUAAAUCCGGGGGGCCUUGCCCGAGAUGAGCGGAAAUCUAGCGGCUUCGGCCAAAGGAAAUUUAAAGGAGCACGCUUCCAAGAAAAACCUCUAAGCUUAGCAAUAGUAAAACCGUACCAAAACCGACACAGGUGGAUAGGUCGAGUAGACCAAGGCGAACGAGUGAAAGGUCCUCAAGGAACUCGGCAAAACAGCGGCCGUACCUUCGGAAUAAGGCCUGCCCCCACCACUUUGUACAUUUCAGAGUGGUGGAGAGUAAACUUGAGAAAAGAUAAAGAAAAAGAGAUAAAGAGCUCUCUAUCAUUUUGGCGAAGUGUCCAAAGUGGUGGGGGCCGCAGCGAAAGAUCCCUGGCGACUGUUUAUCAAAAACACAGCUCCCUGCGAACUCGUAAGAGGAUGUAUAGGGGGUGACGCCUGACCA